CAACAGGGAUACCUCAGUAACGGCGAGUGAAGCGGUAACAGCUCAAAUUUGAAAUCUGGCUCUUUCAGGGUCCGAGUUGUAAUUUGUAGAAGAUGCUUUGGGCAUUGCUCCGGUCUAAGUUCCUUGGAACAGGACGUCAUAGAGGGUGAGAAUCCCGUAUGUGACUGGUGGCAUUUGUCCGUGUAAAGCUCUUUCGACGAGUCGAGUUGUUUGGGAAUGCAGCUCAAAAUGGGUGGUAUAUUUCAUCUAAAGCUAAAUAUUGGCCAGAGACCGAUAGCGCACAAGUAGAGUGAUCGAAAGAUGAAAAGCACUUUGGAAAGAGAGUUAAACAGUACGUGAAAUUGUUGAAAGGGAAGCGCUUGCAACCAGACUUGCAGGUCGUUGAUCAUCCGGGGUUCUCCCCGGUGCACUCGGCGGCUUUCAGGCCAGCAUCGGUUUGAGUGGUGGGAUAAAGGCCUUGGGAAUGUGGCUCCUCUCGGGGAGUGUUAUAGCCCAAGGUGCAAUGCCGCCUAUUCGGACCGAGGACCGCGCUUCGGCUAGGAUGCUGGCGUAAUGGUUGUAAGCGACCCGUCUUGAAACACGGACCAAGGAGUCUAACAUCUAUGCGAGUGUUUGGGUGUCAAACCCAUACGCGUAAUUAACGUGAACGGAGGUAAGAACCCUUAAGGGUGCAUUAUCGACCGAUCCUGAUGUCUUCGGAUGGAUUUGAGUAAGAGCAUAGCUGUUGGGACCCGAAAGAUGGUGAACUAUGCCUGAAUAGGGUGAAGCCAGAGGAAACUCUGGUGGAGGCUCGCAGCGGUUCUGACGUGCAAAUCGAUCGUCAAAUUUGGGUAUAGGGGCGAAAGACUAAUCGAACCAUCUAGUAGCUGGUUCCUGCCGAAGUUCCCCC
rnacentral:rRNA from 1 species